UUACGGACGGUGCACGUACGGAUAUUGGGCGUAAGAGCUCGUAGGCGGUUUGUCGCGUCUGACUGUGAAAUCCGGAGGCUCAACCUCCGGCCUGCAGUGGGUACGGGCAGACUAGAGUGCGGUAGGGGAGAUUGGAAUUCCUGGUGUAGCGGUGGAAUGCGCAGAUAUCAGGAGGAACACCGAUGGCGAAGGCAGAUCUCUGGGCCGUAACUGACGCUGAGGAGCGAAAGGGUGGGGAGCAAACAGGCUUAGAUACCCUGGUAGUCCACCCCGUAAACGUUGGGAACUAGUUGUGGGGUCCAUUCCACGGAUUCCGUGACGCAGCUAACGCAUUAAGUUCCCCGCCUGGGGAGUACGGCCGCAAGGCUAAAACUCAAAGGAAUUGACGGGGACCCGCACAAGCGGCGGAGCAUGCGGAUUAAUUCGAUGCAACGCGAAGAACCUUACCAAGGCUUGACAUAUACGAGAACGGGCCAGAAAUGGUCAACUCUUUGGACACUCGUAAACAGGUGGUGCAUGGUUGUCGUCAGCUCGUGUCGUGAGAUGUUGGGUUAAGUCCCGCAACGAGCGCAACCCUCGUUCUAUGUUGCCAGCACGUAAUGGUGGGAACUCAUGGGAUACUGCCGGGGUCAACUCGGAGGAAGGUGGGGAUGACGUCAAAUCAUCAUGCCCCUUAUGUCUUGGGCUUCACGCAUGCUACAAUGGCCGGUACAAAGGGCUGCAAUACCGCGAGGUGGAGCGAAUCCCAAAAGCCGGUCCCAGUUCGGAUUGAGGUCUGCAACUCGACCUCAUGAAGUCGGAGUCGCUAGUAAUCGCAGAUCAGCAACGCUGCGGUGAAUACGUUCCCGGGUCUUGUACACACCGCCCGUCAAGUCAUGAAAGUCGGUAACACCUGAAGCCGGUGGUCCUAACCCUUGUGGAGGGAGCGUUCUAUGGUGUGAAUCGGUAUUUAGGACUAGUCAUACAGGUAACCAAUC
rnacentral:rRNA from 1 species